GAAGUGAUCAUAACCUAUUACAAGUUAAGUAAGUUAAACUCCCAUCCUCAAAUGUUAGCAACAAGGAAGCAAUCAUAGUUACAAGGAAGUGAUCAUAACCUAUUACAAAGUAAGUUUUGCGGAAUGUAAGUUUUUCAAAGAGUGUUAUCUGGUUUAAUUAAAAGUUUAGUUUAGAAUAAAACCAGAUAAAUAUUUUUCAUCAAGUUAGAAAAUAUGUUAGUAUUUCCAACACGUUAAUAAAUAAUAUAUGGAACUUUUUUUCAUCAAGUUAAAAAAGACUUACCAAGAAGCAUUACUGGAAUUUAUUGUUAUGAUGAACUGUUAUCAAGUUUUAAGCCUAUGGGUGGAACAUAAACAUUAGUGUCGCAUGCAUCAAAGUUCGAUUUGGUCGAUAAGUAGAAGAUCAUUUGAAGAGAGCUCUUAAUAGAGUAGCAUAACAAUUACUUUAUUACAUUUUUGUAUGUUUAUAUUGUAAAUGUUUGAUUUUUUAUUUUUGUAUGCUUAUAUUAUAAAUAAA
rnacentral:lncRNA from 1 species